AUGUAACGCAAACGUCAUUUAAUUAAGGUAAAAAAGACGCUAAUUAUUACACUAAAUUAGCUUUUAAGAUGUAUGUACUGGUGAGCGCAAUACCUGUGAUACCGACCACUAAAAAUUCAAGUUUUUGUAUUAAAAAAUACCACUUUAAUUAAAUAAAAUAGUGGAGCUUUUGGGUGCGUGUCUAAAUAGUAAUUGCAUAGACAACAUUUUUAUUAAUUUUUCGAUAGAAGACUGCAAAGUGUGUCAUUGACAUUAAACUCUUGGAUCACUUGGCUCAACAAAUUGAUAUACCAGGUAUCAAAAUAGGUCACCAUCAAAAUAGAAGUUUCCAGCCCAUAACACAUUUUGCCGAGGUAAAAAUACGAAUUAAAACAAUUCGAACAACAUACUCUGUCGAAGUAAGGAAAAAUUAACUCAUCUAUGAAGAGUGGAGCAUCAACUGACGACCUAUAUACACCUACUUGUGGAUGGUUCAAAAUUGCUGAUGGUUUUCUACGAAAUACAGUUGUUUUACGUGAAACGCAUGAUAAUUUGAAGAUUUACCCAGUACGUCGGAACAUUCACCAGCUAGGACAACCCAAGCCAAUUCUGAAAUAAUUGAGGUUAUCCCGAGGGUUACCCAAACACCUAAGCGUAAAAAAAUAAUUCAGAAAAGUGAUCCUGCUACUACAGCUGUAGAAAAAUUAGAAAAUAUAUGCAAAACUAGUGCAGACGCAUUACAGGAGGAUGAAUUUGAAAUUUAUGGAAUAUACAUAGCCUCGCAGCUACGAUCGAUGGACCUAGAAAGAGCUAUUGAUGUUCAAAAUCAGAUUAACAACAUUUUAUCAAAGUCAAGAAUAGAAGACAUCAAAUGCAAAAAGAGUCUCCACAACACUUUUUCAAUUCCUUAUCCGGAAGAGAGUUUAGUAGAUAUAAAUUCACCACCACCAAGUAACCAGACUGAAGUUGAGGUAUAUUCAGAAGAGGAUAGUGAUAUAACGUUUAUUGAAAAACCUAGGCAUUCUAGUGACAUUUUGUCACAAGCUGUGAUUUCUAUUUUCCGAUAUACUGAUUUGUAAAAUGUGUCAAUAAAGUUAUGAAAUGGA